CCUACGGGAGGCAGCAGUAGGGAAUAUUGCUCAAUGGGGGAGACCCUGAAGCAGCAACGCCGCGUGGAGGAUGAAGGUUUUAGGAUUGUAAACUCCUUUUGUUAGAGAAGAUUAUGACGGUAUCUAACGAAUAAGCACCGGCUAAAUCCGUGCCAGCAGCCGCGGGAAAACGGAGGGUGCAAGCGUUACUCGGAAUCACUGGGCGUAAAGGGUGCGUAGGCGGGGUAAUAAGUCAGGCGUGAAGUCCUGUAGCUUAAAUACAGAACUGCAGUUGAAACUGUUGCUCUGGAGUGGGGGAGAGGUAUGUGGAAUUCUUGGUGUAGGGGUAAAAUGCGUAGAGAUCAAGAGGAAUACUCAUUGCGAAGGCGACCUGCUGGAACAUUACUGACGCUGAUGCACGAAAGCGUGGGGAGCGAACAGGAUUAGAUACCCCAGUAGUC
rnacentral:rRNA from 1 species